rnacentral:rRNA from 1 species
CCCUUAGAUGUCCUGGGCCGCACGCGCGUUACACUGAUGCACUCAACGAGCAUAUAACCUUGGCCGAGAGGCCUGGGUAAUCUUGUUAACAUGCAUCGUGAUAGGGAUAGAUUAUUGCAAUUAUUAAUCUUGAACGAGGAAUUCCUAGUAAUCGCAGAUCAUCAAUCUGCAAUGAUUACGUCCCUGCCCUUUGUACACACCGCCCGUCGCACCUACCGAUUGAAUGGUCCGGUGAGGACUCGGGAUUGUGGUUUGGCUCCUUCAUUGGGGCCUGACUGCGAGAACUUGUCCAAACCUUAUCAUUUAGAGGAAGGUGAAGUCGUAACA